CCUACGGGCGGCAGCAGUGAGGAAUAUUGGUCAAUGGGCGGGAGCCUGAACCAGCCAAGCCGCGUGAGGGACGAAGGUGCCAUGGAUUGUAAACCUCUUUUGUCGGGGAACAAAGUCAGGCACGCGAGCCCGGCUGAGUGUACCCGAAGAAAAAGCAUCGGCUAACUCCGUGCCAGCAGCCGCGGUAAUACGGAGGAUGCGAGCGUUAUCCGGAUUUAUUGGGUUUAAAGGGUGCGUAGGCGGACAGUCAAGUCAGCGGUAAAAAUGCGGUGCUCAACGCCGUACAGCCGUUGAAACUGGCAGUCUUGAGUGGGCGAGAAGUAUGCGGAAUGCGCGGUGUAGCGGUGAAAUGCUUAGAUAUUGCGCAGAACUCCGAUUGCGAAGGCAGCAUACCGGCGGCCAACUGACGCUGAGGCACGAAAGCGUGGGUAUCGAACAGGAUUAGAUACCCUAGUAGUC
rnacentral:rRNA from 1 species